rnacentral:misc_RNA from 1 species
ACCUAUGUCAAAAAUAAGUCAUUGAUCACCAUCAUAACUGUUUAAAAAAUGUGAUAUUAUAUAAAUUGGCAAUAUAAUGUUUUAUAAGAUACGCGACUAUUUUGUUCCUGAUCAUUCAUCAUGUCGUCAUUUGAUGUAAAUCAAGAUAAUAGCCAAGAAAAGUUUUUAAAACCAAAGCCUCAGAAGAAAAUAACACCUUCUUCCAGCAUCAGAUCUGAAUUUAAUACAAUGGAAAGUGGUAGUAGGCAGCUUAUUUCUAUUAAAAAACUUAAGGCAAAACUUCUGUCAAAUCGUGUAUCGGCCACUAGUGAUUCUACAACUGAAAGUAGGGUUCAACCAUGGACAUCUCCAUACUUGACACAAAAAUAUAACACAGCAGGUGUAAAGAAUGAAAAUGAAAAUCCAUUUUUUAUAGAUGAUUUUCCUGCAGUAAAUUAUAAAGAUUUAAAAUAUCUAGAAAGUUUUUCUAAAACCAAAUAUAAACCUUAUGACAUAUAUCUAAAAAAUGUAUCAAAAACUGCUAGUGACAAUUUAAGGAAUCAAUCGGAAAUUAGAUUUGACAAGAAAGGAAAACAAAUGCUUACCACAUUGGAUGACUUUCCUCCAAUUUUAGGCGAUUGCUUAGGAUCUGUAAUUAUUCCUCAAGUAAUAGAUAAUCCAGAUAAAGAUGUGCAAAAAAUUUUAAGUUCUUAUGGACCUGAUAAUGACGAAACCAAAAUUAAUAAAUUGAGAGAUUUUAGUAGCUAUAAACCAAAACCAUCUCAUGAAAAUAAACCACAAGCAAGUACUGAAAAUGUAAGGCAAAGCAUGCUUAAGCAAUUGUAUGAAGGCGCUACUGAAGUACUUAAUAUGACACAGUCAGAAGCACCAGAACAUCAAGAAUCAAUUGACAAAAAUAUAUUAAAAAAAUCUGAAAAUUGGGACACUCCUAGAUCUGAAAAAUCUAAGAUUUUGAAAAAAAAAUCAAUAACUAAUCUGGAAACAGUAGUAACCAAUUUCGAUUAUCUCUCGAAACCAGAAUUGGACAACGAUAAAAACAAAGCCAUACAAAUACCGCAAGCAAGUAGUUAUAUACUAAGUACCGCACGGGUUUAUCCCUCAUGCUGUGAAAUUUCUGCAUCCAAAGUUAUCGAGGAUAUAUCUACACGUGAUAUUAUCAGCUCCAAUCCUUUAGAACAUCCACUAAUAUCUCAGUUGCAGUUUAAAAGUUAUACCAAAGAAAUUAAUGAUGAUAAGAGCUCCUCUUUGGAAUGUACAAGAGAAAGUAUACCGGAAUCCAAAAACAAAAUAUUAAAGGACACUUGUGAUAUUACAACGUGUGACAAAUUUGCAAAGGCAUUUGGCCUAAAAAAACGAAGGUUUUGCUGUGAGAAUGGACUUUGUCCUAUUAACGAUCCUACUACGAGUACCUAUAAGUUUUUACUAGCUACUAAAAUAUGCUGCAAUACUAGGGGAUGUCAACUAGCAGCUAAAAUCUGUGACAUUUAUGAACCUCUAGUAAAUGCAGAUCUAGAUGUCGAACUAGAUGGAGAACAAAAGUACCAUUACUUGGCUUCUGACAUUGGUAUCAAUGAUGCCCAAAUAACAAACCAAGAAAAACCUAAUGAAAACAAUCCGGAUCUAUCUUAUUUGAUCGAAUCUGUUAGAGACUCAAUUGAAGAACAAGACAAGGAAGAAAAAAUAGAAGUGAAGCAGGUUUCAACCGAAAAUAUUAAAGAGAUCGUAAAUCCGAUGGAUCAAGAUUUAUCAGAAAUUAUUAAUUUCGAAGGGGCUAGACGAAGAACUAGUACAGUGAGCUGGAUUGAACCAACCGAUAUAGCUGCAGUGCAUUCUAAAAGUCAAGAAGAAGUAAUUUCUAGAGCAACCGCUGAAGCAGAUAAAUUUAGGCAAACACCAGCAGCAAUUAGACAUGGUUCUGUUUUUGGAGAUAUUAUGAGAAAAAAGUUAGAAGAGCAAUCAUCAGUAGUUGUUGUUGAACAUGAACCAACCAUCGUUAAAUCUCAGUUAAAUUCAAAUAUUAUCGAUGAAAGCCUUAAGGAAAAACCUAAGUGUUUAGAAACGUUUCCACCGAAAAGGACUUAUCGGACAGAUUAACAUAUUCUGAACGUAGAAAACAUCACCAUAAAAAACAUAAGAAACAUAGAAAAGACCGUCAAAUACAAGCGGAGGAACAAACGCAGCAGGAAACCACUGACGACGG